GUGUCAGCAGCCGCGGUAAUACGGGGGGGGCAAGCGUUGUUCGGAAUUACUGGGCGUAAAGGGUUCGUAGGUGGCCUACUAAGUCAGACGUGAAAUCCCUCAGCUUAACUGGGGAACUGCGUCUGAUACUGGGGGGCUUGAGUGCAGGAGAGGAACGCGGAAUUCCAGGUGUAGCGGUGAAAUGCGUAGAUAUCUGGAGGAACACCGGUGGCGAAGGCGGCGUUCUGGACUGCAACUGACACUGAUGAACGAAAGCCAGGGGAGCAAACGGGAUUAGAUACCCGUGUAGUCC
rnacentral:rRNA from 1 species